GAUAGGGUUACCAUGGCCUGAGUUUCAUACAAGAUCAUUUCGUUUUGCACAGGGAUCUUGGCAAAAUUACCAACAAAUCAAUGAAGAAAAUUGAAGGCAGCUUGAUUAUAUCUUCAAUGACAGUCCUACUGAACUUGACGGAAUAUGUCAGGUCUCCAAAGAAGAGGACAGAUCUUGGUUAGAUGUAUCCUAAAACUAGGAAAGGAUUAAGGGACCUUGGAAUGGAAGCAACAUGCUGGGAUGAGCCAGAGAGGUGCCCUUCACAGACAGGGCUAGGAAGUCCUGGCCAAGGAUGCCUAAUAAACCUGUCAUGGUGGUUCGCAAGGUUUUGACUCUCUGGACUAAAGCACAAAAUAUAAGGGGCGCUUCAUGUCAUUUUAUGAGGAAUGAGGGAGUAGAGUACGGUUGAAAAUACAAUGGUGCCAACAUAUUUAUUUUAACAAUCAGAGGGAGAA
rnacentral:lncRNA from 1 species